UACAUUUACAAAGUGCUGAAGCAGGUCC
rnacentral:sRNA from 1 species